rnacentral:piRNA from 1 species
UGUGUAUUCUAACUUUUUAUCUCUGCAG